rnacentral:rRNA from 1 species
CCUACGGGUGGCAGCAGUAAGGAAUAUUGCUCAAUGGAGGCAACUCUGAAGCAGCAACGCCGCGUGCAGGAUGACGGUUUUCGGGUUGUAAACUCCUUUUGUUGGGGAGGAUAAUGACGUUAUCUAACGCAUAAUCACCGGCUAACUCCGUGCCAGCAGCCGCGGUAAUACGGAGGGUGCAAGCGUUACUCGGAAUCACUGGGCGUAAAGAGCGCGUAGGCGGGAUAGCAAGUCAGAUGUGAAAUCCUUCGGCUUAACCAUAGAACUGCAUGUGAAACUGGUAUUCUAGAGUAGGGGAGAGGUAGGUGGAAUUCUUGGUGUAGGGGUAAAAUGCGUAGAGAUCAAGAGGAAUACUCAUUGCGAAGGCGACCUGCCAGAACAUAACUGACGCUGAGGCGCGAAAGUGUGGGGAGCAAACAGGAUUAGAUACCCGAGUAGUC